rnacentral:rRNA from 1 species
GGUGUCGGCUUAAGUGCCAUAACGAGCGCAACCCCUCUCCUUAGUUGCCAUACAGGUCAAGCUGGGCACUCUGGGGACACUGCCACCGUAAGGUGUGAGGAAGGUGGGGAUGACGUCAAAUCAGCAC